GAGGCGCAGAGGGUGUGGCUGUAAGGCUGGGCUCGAGUGACGACACCCAGGCGAACUAGCUACGAGCUAACCUGAAGCUAACCCUGGCUAACCCAAAGCUAAAGCGGAGGUGGGAGCCGAGCUAACCGAUGUAGCCACCUAGCUUCAACCCAACCGGAGCUAACUGGAACACCCAUCGACCUGAACCUUACACGGAGUUUAGGUGGAGGUUUUCUGCGCCUGUUCGUGAGAAGUACCAGUAUUAAAAAAGUUUUAAAUCGAUCUGUUAAAAGGUCACCAUGGCAGCCUGUGUGUCUCAAACAUCAGCUACACAACGCAGCAACCAUUUGGAUCAUUGGAGACAGCUACGUGAGGCGUGGUGCCCAGAGAGCUGCAGAGACAACCUUGGCCUCCCUGACGUCCGUGUCUCCUGGUUCGGUUGGGGCGGACCAUCGACAUACAUACAUACAUGUGCCGACACUUUGCGCCCUGUUUUAUAAAAUGUAGUGUUAAAAAUAAAUGUUUUUGCUCAA